ACGCUGGCGGCAUGCCUUCCAUGCAAGUCGAACGGCAGCACGGGAGCGAUCCUGGUGGCGAGUGGCGAACGGGUGAGUAAUGUAUCGGAACGUACCUUUCAGUGGGGGAUAACGUAGCGAAAGUUACGCUAAUACCGCAUAUUCUGUGAGCAGGAAAGCAGGGGAUCGCAAGACCUUGCGCUGAUUGAGCGGCCGAUAUCAGAUUAGCUAGUUGGUGAGGUAAAGGCUCACCAAGGCGACGAUCUGUAGCGGGUCUGAGAGGAUGAUCCGCCACACUGGAACUGAGACACGGUCCAGACUCCUACGGGAGGCAGCAGUGGGGAAUUUUGGACAAUGGGGGCAACCCUGAUCCAGCCAUGCCGCGUGAGUGAAGAAGGCCUUCGGGUUGUAAAGCUCUUUCAGCCGGGAAGAAAUCACAUGGGUUAAUACCCUGUGUGGAUGACGGUACCGGAAUAAGAAGCACCGGCUAACUACGUGCCAGCAGCCGCGGUAAUACGUAGGGUGCGAGCGUUAAUCGGAAUUACUGGGCGUAAAGCGUGCGCAGGCGGUUUGUUAAGAUAGGCGUGAAAUCCCGGGCUCAACCUGGGAACUGCGUUUAUGACUGGCAGGCUAGAGUAUGGCAGAGGGGGGUGGAAUUCCACGUGUAGCAGUGAAAUGCGUAGAGAUGUGGAGGAACACCGAUGGCGAAGGCAGCCCCCUGGGCCAAUACUGACGCUCAUGCACGAAAGCGUGGGUAGCAAACAGGAUUAGAUACCCUGGUAGUCCACGCCCUAAACGAUGUCAACUAGGUGUUGGGUGGGUAAAACCAUUUAGUACCGGAGCUAACGCGUGAAGUUGACCGCCUGGGGAGUACGGCCGCAAGGUUAAAACUCAAAGGAAUUGACGGGGACCCGCACAAGCGGUGGAUGAUGUGGAUUAAUUCGAUGCAACGCGAAAAACCUUACCUACCCUUGACAUGUCCAGAAGCUCUUAGAGAUUUGAGUGUGCCCGAAAGGGAACUGGAACACAGGUGCUGCAUGGCUGUCGUCAGCUCGUGUCGUGAGAUGUUGGGUUAAGUCCCGCAACGAGCGCAACCCUUGUCGUUAAUUGCCAUCAUUUAGUUGGGCACUUUAACGAGACUGCCGGUGACAAACCGGAGGAAGGUGGGGAUGACGUCAAGUCCUCAUGGCCCUUAUGGGUAGGGCUUCACACGUCAUACAAUGGUCGGUACAAAGGGUUGCCAACCCGCGAGGGGGAGCUAAUCCCAGAAAGCCGAUCGUAGUCCGGAUCGUAGGCUGCAACUCGCCUGCGUGAAGUCGGAAUCGCUAGUAAUCGUGGAUCAGCAUGUCACGGUGAAUACGUUCCCGGGUCUUGUACACACCGCCCGUCACACCAUGGGAGCGGGUUCCGCCAGAAGUAGGUAGCCUAACCGCAAGGAGGGCGCUUACCACGGCGGGGUU
rnacentral:rRNA from 1 species